rnacentral:tRNA from 1 species
GGGAAUAUGGCUCAGUGGCACAGCACCUGCCUGAAAAGCAGGAGUCCUGAGUUCAAUUUUAAUACCA